GAGGCCCCGGCUAGGCCGGCACUUCACCGGAGCCCUUGAUUUCAAGCGGGAGCCUAAAGAAAUGUCUCGCUCUGGCCCGGUGACUGUCUCGGAGCUUUGGAAUUCUAAGGGUCCAUUCACCAGGAAGAAACAUCU
rnacentral:snoRNA from 1 species